CUCCGGUUGGAUGCAUGUCCUUCCGGGAAAGAUUCUAUCGGUAUGGGAUGGGGUCGCGUCCUAUCAGCUUGAUGGCGGGGUAACGGCCCACCAUGGCUUCGACGGGUAGCCGGCCUGAGAGGGCGACCGGCCACAUUGGGACUGAGAUACGGCCCAGACUCCUACGGGAGGCAGCAGUGGGGAAUAUUGCACAAUGGGCGCAAGCCUGAUGCAGCGACGCCGCGUGCGGGAUGGAGGCCUUCGGGUUGUAAACCGCUUUUGAUCGGGAGCAAGCCCUUCGGGGUGAGUGUACCUUUCGAAUAAGCACCGGCUAACUACGUGCCAGCAGCCGCGGUAAUACGUAGGGUGCAAGCGUUAUCCGGAAUUAUUGGGCGUAAAGGGCUCGUAGGCGGUUCGUCGCGUCCGGUGUGAAAGCCCAUCGCUUAACGGUGGGUCUGCGCCGGGUACGGGCGGG
rnacentral:rRNA from 1 species